rnacentral:rRNA from 1 species
UACGGAGGGUGCAAGCGUUAUCCGGAAUCACUGGGUUUAAAGGGUGCGUAGGCGGUCUUGUAAGUCAGUCGUGAAAUCACUGGGCUCAACCCAUGUAAUUGCGAUUGAUACUGCAGGACUUGAAUUAGGUUAAGGCAGGCGGAAUGUGACAUGUAGCGGUGAAAUGCAUAGAUAUGUCAUAGAACACCGAUUGCGAAGGCAGCCUGCUGGGCCUUGAUUGACGCUGAGGCACGAAAGCGUGGGGAGCAAA